rnacentral:misc_RNA from 1 species
AAGUCGUAACAAGGUUUCCGUAGGUGAACCUGCGGAAGGAUCAUUAUCAAUGAUAUUCAUCAUAACACUGUGAACUUAAUGAACUGAAUUUGGGGAUGAUCUUAUUAAGAUCUCCCCAAAAUAUUAAAACACUAUAAUUUUUAAGCAGAGUCAAUAUUAUUAAAAUAAUUUAGACAACUUUUAGCAACGGAUCUCUAGGUUCUC